UUGGGCUUAUCUCUUUCUUUUAAUUGUGAUAGUAAAACAAUAAAAAUGAGAUUUAAUUUUAACCAGCGUUGGUCUGUCUGAGGCAGUAGGUAAAGAUGAUGAGGUAGAGAAAUAUUAAUCCAGCCUGGUUAUUUAACUUCUGCCUGAGAGUGAGGGGGACACUGUUGAAGGCACCUGCUCAGGACAAUGAAGCUCCUCAAUUACGCUUUUGUGUAUCGUCGCUUUCUCCUUGUGGUUUUCACUGUUUUGGUUUUAUUGCCACUCCCUCUCAUCAUCCGUAGCAAGGUAAGCAAGCCUGGAGUGCAGACAGGCACAUGUCUUGGGCUAUAGGUUGUCCUUUGAUGUUGAUCAUGGUCUUGUUCGAAGCUGAAGGAAUGGUAAUACUUUGUGCUUUUUCUAUACAUUAUACUUGUGUAUUUUCCUCAUUUUUUAUUGGUUGGUCUUAUUUGCAUCUCAUCAUUAUUAAG
rnacentral:lncRNA from 1 species